UGAAGGAAAGUGAGUUAUGAGUACUGAAGACGCAAGACAGGAACUAAGUGGAUCUGGCAGGUGUUUGCAUGUUUUCAAGCUGCGUCAUGAAUAAAAGAUGUCGUCCAAGGUCAUUAGGGUUUAGGAGAUGUAUCUUAAUCCUGGACAAGAUACAUGGUUCUAAACUCGGUUUUAUCUAAGGUCUUUUGUCGAGUCUUAGUGAACUCCUUAAAACAUGUGAUGGUGUGUAAUUUGAAUUUGGUGUCGACGUUUCAGACAAUUAUGUUGUGUUAUUUUCAAACUUAAUUUAUGGAUGAACAUCUAAUGGUUUUAUCAUG